rnacentral:rRNA from 1 species
GUGGGGAAUAUUGGACAAUGGGCGAAAGCCUGAUCCAGCCACGCCGCGUGAGUGAUGAAGGCUUUAGGGUUGUAAAGCUCUUUCGGUAGGGAAGAUAAUGACGGUACCUACAGAAGAAGCCCCGGCUAACUUCGUGCCAGCAGACGCGGGAAUACGAAGGGGGCUAGCGUUGCUCGGAUUCAUUGGGCGUAAGGCGCACGCAGGCGGAUUGGUCAGUUAUAUGUGAAAUCCUGGGGCUCAACUCCAGAACGUCAUUUAAUACUGCCAGUCUAGAGUCCAGAAGAGGUGAGUGGAACUCCUAGUGUAGAGGUGGAAUUCGUAGAUAUUAGGAAGAACACCAGUGGCGAAGGCGGCUCACUGGUCUGGUACUGACGCUGAGGUGCGAAAGCGUGGGGAGCAAACAGGAUUAGAAACCCCAGUAGUCC